rnacentral:rRNA from 1 species
CGGACGACGCUGGCGGCGUGCUUAACACAUGCAAGUUGGACGGUACGACAUGGAAGCUUGCUGAAGUGUCGUACAGUAGCGAACGGGUGAGUAAUGCAUGAGAAUCUGCCCUUUGGAGGGGGACAACAGCUGGAAACGGCUGCUAAUACCCCGUAAGCCGGGAGGUGAAAGGUACGCGAGUACUGCCGGGGGAUGAGCUCAUGUCCUAUCAGCUGGUUGGCGGGGUAACGGCCCACCAAGGCGACGACGGGUAGCCGGCCUGAGAGGGUGACCGGCCACACUGGGAUUGAGAUACGGCCCAGACUCCUACGGGAGGCAGCAGUCGAGAAUAGUCUACAAUGGCCGGAAGGCUGAUAGUGCGACGCCGCGUGAACGAGGGAGCCCUUCGGGGUGUAAAGUUCUUUUCUAUACGAGCAGUGCUAUAUAUAUGGAUAGUAUAUAUAGAGGGAUAGUAGUAUAGGAAUAAGCAACGGCUAACUCCGUG